GAAGCUGUAAAUGUGACCUGGUCACCUCUAGUCCAGCAGCUCACCAACUUUCCAAUUUUGGAUUUCAGUUUUAGUACUCUAAUGCCAGUUUGUAUUUGUAUUCUCUCAAUCUGGAGCAGCCAGGUUAUGAUAUAUAACUAAAGACCAGUGUGCCAAGUGAUCAAUGGUUAAGGAGUUGCAUGAAGCUGUAAAUGUGACCUGGUCACCUCUAGUCCAGCAGCUCACCAACUUUCCAAUUUUGGAUUUCAGUUUUAGUACUCUAAUGCCAGUUUGUAUUUGUAUUCUCUCAAUCUGGAGCAGCCAGGUUAUGAUAUAUAACUAAAGACCAGUGUGCCAAGUGAUCAAUGGUUAAGGAGUUGCAUGAAGCUGUAAAUGUGACCUGGUCACCUCUAGUCCAGCAGCUCACCAACUUUCCAAUUUUGGAUUUCAGUUUUAGUACUCUAAUGCCAGUUUGUAUUUGUAUUCUCUCAAUCUGGAGCAGCCAGGUUAUGAUAUAUAACUAAAGACCAGUGUGCCAAGUGAUCAAUGGUUAAGGAGUUGCAUGAAGCUGUAAAUGUGACCUGGUCACCUCUAGUCCAGCAGCUCACCAACUUUCCAAUUUUGGAUUUCAGUUUUAGUACUCUAAUGCCAGUUUGUAUUUGUAUUCUCUCAAUCUGGAGCAGCCAGGUUAUGAUAUAUAACUAAAGACCAGUGUGCCAAGUGAUCAAUGGUUAAGGAGUUGCAUGAAGCUGUAAAUGUGACCUGGUCACCUCUAGUCCAGCAGCUCACCAACUUUCCAAUUUUGGAUUUCAGUUUUAGUACUCUAAUGCCAGUUUGUAUUUGUAUUCUCUCAAUCUGGAGCAGCCAGGUUAUGAUAUAUAACUAAAGACCAGUGUGCCAAGUGAUCAAUGGUUAAGGAGUUGCAUGAAGCUGUAAAUGUGACCUGGUCACCUCUAGUCCAGCAGCUCACCAACUUUCCAAUUUUGCUUGGAUGCAGGAACAGCUGCUCAGCAGUUGGAUGUCAGUUUUAGUCCUGUAAUGUCAGUUUGGAUUUGUAUUCUCUCAAUCAAUACCAGUGUGCCAAGUUAUCAAAGAUUGUCAUACGAUUAUUGUGGGAGCUGGUGGAACGAAUCCAGAUGGCAUUAUUGUGAGUUGCUGUAAUUAUGGAAAAAUGAAGAUUUACUCUGCUGACAAGAUGUUUGAGAACGACAGCAACUAUUUGAUUAGCGGUUCCGACAAACACGAAGGUCCUGUGAGAGCUCUGGACUUUCAUCCAUUUCAGUCUCACAGCGUUUUGUCAUUUAGGAUCUGAAAAUGAAUGAUAUGUCACACAGCUUCAGAAGAGGAUCAAACUUCAAUUAUUGCACAGUGGGAUUCGAGAUUUGCAAUCUCUCCGUGAAAAACAUUUCAAUGCCGUCG